AUCCCGGAGACCCUUAGGAAACUAGGGGUGCUCCAUCUGGAAGAAUCUGGAGACAGGUGCUGCAUGGCUGUCGUCAGCUCGUGUCGUGAGAUGUUGGGUUAAGUCCCGCACGAGCGCAACCCUUGCCUUUAGUUGCCAGCAGUUCGGCUGGGCACUCUAAAGGGACUGCCGGUGUUAAACCGGAGGAAGGUGGGGAUGACGUCAAGUCCUCAUGGCCUUUAUGACCAGGGCUACACACGUACUACAAUGGCCGAUACAAAGGGCAGCGACACUGCGAGGUGAAGCCAAUCCCGUAAAAUCGGUCUCAGUCCGGAUUGGAGUCUGCAACUCGACUGCGUGAAGUCGGAAUCGCUAGUAAUCGUGAAUCAGAAUGUCACGGUGAAUACGUUCCCGGGCCUC
rnacentral:rRNA from 1 species